rnacentral:rRNA from 1 species
CGUGUAGGCGGUUGGUCAAGUCUGGCGUGAAAGCCCGGGGCUUAGCUCCGGAAGUGCGCUGGAAACUAGCCGACUGGAGCGCGAUAGAGGAGGGUGGAAUUCCUGGUGUAGCGGUGAAAUGCGUAGAUAUCAGGAGGAACGCCGGCGGCGAAGGCGGCCCUCUGGAUCGUUGCUGACGCUGAGACGCGAAAGCGUGGGGAGCAAACAGGAUUAGAUACCCUGGUAGUCCACGCUGUAAACUAUGGGUACUAGGUGUUCGGGGUGUUGACCCCCUGAGUGCCGACGCUAACGCAUUAAGUACCCCGCCUGGGGACUACGGCCGCAAGGCUAAA